UGAUGUACAACACUCAGCGCCUCAACUGC
rnacentral:piRNA from 1 species